rnacentral:lncRNA from 1 species
GACCGGUCCCUCGCUGCGCGACAGAAACACCAUGGUUCGGGAACCGAUCUCUCAUCACAAGGGACCGGUUGCAUCAAGGUUCACGCAGUGAGGACCUUAGGGGAACCGGUCUCUUGACCUCAGGGACCGGUCCCAGAACACAGAAAAGUUCAGUAAAGAAUUUUUGAAGUAAUCUAAGCCUUCUGAACUUAGUCUAAUUAGGUAUAUUCACCACAAAUGAUAUUUUCUUUAUACCUUGGGUAUCGAGCUUUCCGAAUUAGUCUUAUUUCUUCAAUUUGAAUCUUUUCUUCAAAAACUUCUGCGAUCAACUCUUCAAGACUCCAACCAACUUUACGAAAAUCGCCAACCUAUAAAAUCCUUAACAAUCUCCCCCUUUGGCGAUUUCGUGACAAAAUAUACUAUAAACUCGUACACAACACAGAAACAAUAAAAAGAAGAUCAUCGCAAUCACCAAACGACAAUCUCCUGCAUGAUCGAUCCAAUAAACUAAAAUUACAAUUUUCAUAAUCUUAAUACAAACUCUAUGACUUUGUCACGCCCAGGUACCAGCGGAAGCAUAUCCGGCACGUGCACAGACCCGCCAUAC